CACACCCCCAGUCCGGCCAUCUUGCCUUAGCUUUAAAAAGGACCCACACCACCCUCUUCCCCUUCUCCAAAAAAAAAAAAAAAAAAAAACCACAAGAGAACCAAACCAAAAAACCCCCACGCUGUCAGCUGUCAGCUGCAGCUCCCCUGACAGCCUUACUGCACUCCCUCAGGCUCGCGGGGUCCUCAGCAUACAGACCCCUCAGCUCUCCCCUCUGCCCCACAGACCAAACCCCACCACGCACGCCACACACUCAGCCGGGUCCCCGCCCCCUCCACCCUCCCAGCACUCGCCCCUUCAGGCCCACCGCCCGCCCCAUCCACCCCCUUGCGUCAACUUUCCUUAGCUUUUUCAAGGAACCCUCUCCACCCUCCGCCCCUUCUCAAAAGACUACUACCAACCAACAAACAAAACGCACGAUUAACUCUCAGCUACAACUCAGCUGACAUCCUUCCUGCACUCCCUCAGGCUCCAGGUGUCCCUCCGCUUUCCCAUAGGCUCUCACCUCUGCCUGAGGCAGGCGCGCGCCUUCCCCACCACGCACACCCCACAAGCCACUGGAUCCCUGCUAACAUCCACCCUCCCAGCACUCACCCCUUUGCCUUCCUUCCUCAGGUGCUUCCUCAGGAUUUUAAAGGGACCAACACCACCCUCUCCCCCUUCGCACAAAACCACCACCACCACAAAGCACAACAGACCAACAGACCCAAAAAUCAACCGAAAGAAAAAAAAAAACAAACACCGCACUGUCACCUGUCAGCUGGAGCUCCCCUGACACCCUUACUGCACUCCCUCAGGCUCGCGGGGUCCCUCAGCAUUCCCUUCUGCUCUCCCUCUGCCCCACCAGGCAAGCGGGGCCCCGCCCCCUCCACCCUCCACCCCUCACCCUUCACCCCCCUUCCUGCCAUCUUUCCUCAGCUUUUUCAAGGGACCCUCUCCACCCUCUGCCCCUUCUCAAAAACUCUCCUCCCUGGAAGCUGUCAGCUGCAGCUCCACUGGCAGCCUGACCUCUCUCCCACCGCGCCUGCCAGCGUCCCUCAGCAAUCCCUUCCGCUCUCCUCUCUGCCCCACGCACGCACGCCAACCCCCACCACGCAGGCCCGCCGGGCCCCGCCCCCUCCACCCUCCCAGCGCUCACCCCUUCACCCCCCCCUUUCCUGACCUCUUUCCUCUGGUUGCUCAAAGGACCCUCUCCCACCCUCCGCCCCUUCGCCAAAAACUCCAUACCCGCCGGCUUACCUGUCAGCUGAGGUCCGCUGACAGCCUUACUGCACUCCCUCUGGCGGGCGCCUGGGGUCCCUCAGCAUACCCUUCGGCGCUCGCCUCUGCCCCACGCGCGCAACACCCACGCACGCAACGCACGCAACGCACGCAAUGCACACCCCGCAGGCGCCACCCGCAAGAGGCUCCCCGCCCCCGAGACCAGCCCAGCAGUCGCCCCUUCACACACACGUGCACCCCCACACACACCCCAGUCCGGCCAUCUUGCCUUAGCUUUAUAAAAGGACCCACACCACCCUCUUCCCCUUCUCCAAAAAAAAAAAAAAAAAAACCACAAGAGAACCAAACCAAAAACCCCACGCUGUCAGCUGUCAGCUGCAGCUCCCCUGACAGCCUUACUGCACUCCCUCAGGCUCGCGGGGUCCCUCAGCAUACAGACCCCUCAGCUCUCCCUCUGCCCCACAGACCAAACCCCCACCACGCACGCCACACACUCAGCCGGGUCCCCGCCCCCCUCCACCCUCCCAGCACUCGCCCCUUCAGGCCCACCGCCCGCCCCAUCCACCCCUUGCGUCAACUUUCCUUAGCUUUUUCAAGGAACCCUCUCCACCCUCCGCCCCUUCUCAAAAGACUACUACCAACCAACAAACAAAACGCACGAUUAACUCUCAGCUACAACUCAGCUGACAUCCUUCCUGCACUCCCUCAGGCUCCAGGUGUCCCUCCGCUUUCCCAUAGGCUCUCACCUCUGCCUGAGGCAGGCGCGCGCCUUCCCCACCACGCACACCCCACAAGCCACUGGAUCCCUGCUAACAUCCACCCUCCCAGCACUCACCCCUUUGCCUUCCUUCCUCAGGUGCUUCCUCAGGAUUUUAAAGGGACCAACACCACCCUCUCCCCCUUCGCACAAAACCACCACCACCACAAAGCACAACAGACCAACAGACCCAAAAAUCAACCGAAAGAAAAAAAAAAAAAAACACCGCACUGUCACCUGUCAGCUGGAGCUCCCCUGACACCCUUACUGCACUCCCUCAGGCUCGCGGGGUCCCUCAGCAUUCCCUUCUGCUCUCCCCUCUGCCCCACCAGGCAAGCGGGGCCCCGCCCCCUCCACCCUCCCACCCUCACCCCUUCACCCCCCUUCCUGCCAUCUUUCCUCAGCUUUUUCAAGGGACCCUCUCCACCCUCUGCCCCUUCUCAAAAACUCUCCUCCCUGGAAGCUGUCAGCUGCAGCUCCACUGGCAGCCUGACCUCUCUCCCACCGCGCCUGCCAGCGUCCCUCAGCAAUCCCUUCCGCUCUCCUCUCUGCCCCACGCACGCACGCCAACCCCCACCACGCAGGCCCGCCGGGCCCCGCCCCCUCCACCCUCCCAGCGCUCACCCCUUCACCCCCCCCUUUCCUGACCUCUUUCCUCUGGUUGCUCCAAGGACCCUCUCCCACCCUCCGCCCCUUCGCCAAAAACUCCAUACCCGCCGGCUUACCUGUCAGCUGAGGUCCGCUGACAGCCUUACUGCACUCCCUCUGGCGGGCGCCUGGGGUCCCUCAGCAUACCCUUCGGCGCUCGCCUCUGCCCCACGCGCGCAACACCCACGCACGCAACGCACGCAACGCACGCAUGCACACCCGCAGGCGCCACCCGCAAGAGGCUCCCCGCCCCCCGAGACCAGCCCAGCAGUCGCCCCUUCACACACACGUGCACCCCCACACACACCCCCAGUCCGGCCAUCUUGCCUUAGCUUUAAAAAGGACCCACACCACCCUCUUCCCCUUCUCCAAAAAAAAAAAAAAAAAAAAAAAACCACAAGAGAACCAAACCAAAAACCCCCACGCUGUCAGCUGUCAGCUGUCAGCUGUCAGCUGCAGCUCCCCUGACAGCCUUACUGCACUCCCUCAGGCUCGCGGGGUCCCUCAGCAUACAGACCCCUCAGCUCUCCCCUCUGCCCACAGACCAAACCCCCACCACGCACGCCACACACUCAGCCGGGUCCCCGCCCCCUCCACCCUCCCAGCACUCGCCCCUUCAGGCCCACCGCCCGCCCCAUCCACCCCCUGCGUCAACUUUCCUUAGCUUUUCAAGAACCCUCUCCACCCUCCGCCCCUUCUCAAAAGACUACUACCAACCAACAAACAAAACGCACGAUUAACUCUCAGCUACAACUCAGCUGACAUCCUUCCUGCACUCCCUCAGGCUCCAGGUGUCCCUCCGCUUUCCCAUAGGCUCUCACCUCUGCCUGAGGCAGGCGCGCGCCUUCCCCACCACGCACACCCCACAAGCCACUGGAUCCCUGCUAACAUCCACCCUCCCAGCACUCACCCCUUUGCCUUCCUUCCUCAGUGUUUCCUCAGGAUUUUAAAGGGACCAACACCACCCUCUCCCCCUUCGCACAAAACCACCACCACCACAAAGCACAACAGACCAACAGACCCAAAAAUCAACCGAAAGAAAAAAAACAAACAAACACCGCACUGUCACCUGUCAGCUGGAGCUCCCCUGACACCCUUACUGCACUCCCUCAGGCUCGCGGGGUCCCUCAGCAUUCCCUUCUGCUCUCCCUCUGCCCCACCAGGCAAGCGGGGCCCCGCCCCCUCCACCCUCCCACCCCUCACCC
rnacentral:lncRNA from 9 species